UUAGAGUGGUUCGGACAACUUCAUCCCGCCUCGCCACGGGGAAAGCCGGUGUGACUCCGGCGCUGACCCGCAACCGUGAGUGCGGCCGUAGGUCACGUACGUACGGUCGUACGAGCCGGAGCACCCGCGAUGGGGCCUGUCUCUUA
rnacentral:ncRNA from 1 species